UACAGAGGUCUCAAGCGUUGUUCGGAUUCAUUGGGCGUAAAGGGUGUGUAGGUGGCGCUGUAAGUCGGGUGUGAAAUUUCGGAGCUUAACUCCGAAACUGCAUUCGAUACUGCGGUGCUUGAGGACUGGAGAGGAGACUGGAAAUUCAUGGUGUAGCAGUGAAAUGCGUAGAGAUCAUGAGGAAGACCAGUGCGAAGCGGGUCUCUGGACAGUUCCUGACACUGAGACACGAAGGCCAGGGAGCAAACGGGAUUAG
rnacentral:rRNA from 1 species